UACGGGGGGGGCAAGCGUUGUUCGGAAUUACUGGGCGUAAAGGGCGCGUAGGCGGCCGCCUAAGUCAGACGUGAAAUCCCUCGGCUCAACCGGGGAACUGCGUCUGAUACUGGGUGGCUUGAAUUCGGGAGAGGGAUGCGGAAUUCCAGGUGUAGCGGUGAAAUGCGCAGAUAUCAGGAAGAACACCCGUGGCGAAGGCGGCUCUCUGGGACGGUACUGACGCUGAGACGCGAAAGCGUGGGGAGCGAACAGG
rnacentral:rRNA from 1 species